rnacentral:rRNA from 1 species
GGAUUUAUUGGGUUUAAAGGGAGCGUAGGCCGGAGAUUAAGUGUGUUGUGAAAUGUAGACGCUCAACGUCUGACUUGCAGCGCAUACUGGUUUCCUUGAGUACGCACAACGUUGGCGGAAUUCGUCGUGUAGCGGUGAAAUGCUUAGAUAUGACGAAGAACUCCGAUUGCGAAGGCAGCUGACGGGAGCGCAACUGACGCUUAAGCUCGAAGGUGCGGGUAUCGAACAGGAUUAGAUACCCUGGUAGUCCGCACAGUAAACGAUGGAUGCCCGCUGUUGGUACCUGGUAUCAGCGGCUAAGCGAAAGCAUUAAGCAUCCCACCUGGGGAGUACGCCGGCAACGGUGAAACUCAAAGGAAUUGACGGGGGCCCGCACAAGCGGAGGAACAUGUGGUUUAAUUCGAUGAUACGCGAGGAACCUUACCCGGGCUUGAAUUGCAGAGGAAGGAUUUAGAGAUAAUGACGCCCUUCGGGGCCUCUGUGAAGGUGCUGCAUGGUUGUCGUCAGCUCGUGUCGUGA